UUCGGUGAUUUUAAUGAAAUUUUAAUUAGUCAUGAGAAGGAGGGAGGAGCACAAAGGGAUCAACGUUGCAUGCAAGCGUUCCGGGGCACUCUGUCUGACUAUACUCUAGAUGACAUAGGUGCAUUGGGUGACCCCUUUACCUGGUGCAGAGGGAGGAUAAAUGUGAGGUUGGAUAGAGCGGUUUGCAAUGCUUCAUUGGAAUCAAUUGUUUCCCAUAUGGGAGUGAUUAAUGGUGAAAUGACAAAGUCAGAUCAUAGGCCGCUGAUCAUUGAUACCAGGUACUACGUGGAGGUGAACCUGAGAGGAGCGGGAAGGAGAUUUGAAGCUAGGUGGUUAAAAGAAGAAACAAUAGAGGAGGUGGUCCAGACUGCAUGGCAGCAAGCUUCAUUUCAAGGAAUUGGGCCAGUUAAACGGAAGCUUGAUUCGGUACAUGCAAGGUUGCACCAAUGGGAUAAAGUAGUUUUUAAAACAGAUGCAAAAGUGGAUAGCAACCCUAUAGCCAAGCUUGAAGAUCUUAGAAGGGGUCCAGCCAAGGAUGAAGUGUUGGCGAGACAAAAGGAAUUUUUGCUAGUUCUUGAGAACUUAAUGGAACAAGAGGUGAUUGAAUGGCUCCAGAGAGGCCGAGUGAACUGGCUAAAACACGGGGAUGGAAACAAAACUUUUUCCAUAAUUUUUCUUCAACCCAAAAGAAAAAUGACACUAUAA
rnacentral:rRNA from 1 species